rnacentral:rRNA from 1 species
UUCGCUGCAGGACAGUCAGAGUGUACGGAUUGUGUAUAAUCGCGGGUUGAGAGUAGUGGUGUCCGUACGGUUCUCCCUCUAUUCGAUUCGUGUUCAUCGAUCGAUCGUCGACGAUCCUCAUCCUCUUUGUAGUUAGUUGUAUCGUAAUUACCUACUGCUUCGGUACUCUCUGUCUCCCCUCCUACGUCUCUUCCCGCUCUCCCUCUCCUUCUGGCUCCCCCGAUCCUUCCACGGGAAGAAGUCGUACAAGUCCAUGCGGUCGGCACGGCUGUACCGCGACUACCGGCAGCCGUGACACCGCCGGUACCAAUUGCCGUACCCGCUGGGCGAGUACUGGCAGCAGAAGCGGCGCCAGUAGCUCACAAAGCCGCGGCCGCUGUUGCAGGAGGUCGCCCAGUCGUUCCAACAAUACAUGAUGUAGAUAAACCCUUAACCCUGUCGCCAUCGAAGUAAAGAGGUCCACAGUACGACCUGUUACUGACCUCUUUCCGUCAGUUAUGCGUAGGCUAGAGAUAUGGAACUUCGACAAGAUUUUGUCCUACAAAGUAAGAAACUACACCUCUACUGUUGACCCCUUCGUUAAAGGUCUUACAGACGCCUGUGACAUGACCAGGUUCUACGGGAACCUCUCUUCCAUCCGUUCAUACGUGUCGAAAACUGUUGGAAACAACCUACAAAAUAGUAGCCUAAGCAUUCUCCGACCUACAAUCGAGAACAAUACGAGCGUACGUAUGGAGGUUUAUAAGACAGAAAACGUUAGUACAGAGCCAAUGCACGAGUUUAUAGUCGGUCCUCCGUCCGUAGCAUGUGACUACGCCCGUUACAGCAGCUUGUCUGGUAACCUCGAUAUUCUUGCCAAUAGAGGAAGUUACCACUCUUCUUUCGUUAGCGUAACAUGUUGUGAGAAUGUUUUUCCCGUAUAUUCCGAUGCCAGAACCUUCCCUAACGGUGACCAGAUCCUUGUCCGCCAUAGAAAAGACAAAAGAAGACGCCAAUGAGAGAUCGGAAAACCCGAUAUCCAUGGCGUAGUGGGAGUUAAAGACGAUAACGUCUUCCCGUUAGACGUCGUAUAUCCAACAAACUCUAUUACUUGUUUCUUGGUUUCUAACUGUAGUGGCUGUGAAGACCUUAUCAUAACCUGCCAUAGUCCCCGCUACAACUUGAGUUGUUACACAAGAAAUCUAUAGGACGUUCCGGACUCGUCAACUAUGAAUUACCCAACAGAGAUGUACAUGGAUCACCAUGAUGUUACCGAUAUCAACCUCUCUCACCUUCACCAUUUAGUUGUUAUUAAUCAAACCACCUCUCUAAGAUGCUGGGUGUUCGACCGCUACACGACUAUCUACCUUAGUUGUAGUUCUCAUACUUUGAGGUCACCUAUUCUCCUUACUAGUCAGAACAAUCGGUUCUUGGUAACGAAAAAUACUGGAGGUAGUUUCUGUUGUAUUGGAUACCAUUUCUCCUACGAUGCGAACUUCUCUAGUUCUCUCGUCGACUCGAACGUUUACGUUGUUUAAAGUAGCUUUUCAACGGAUUACGCAUACUCUGUUACCAACCAGUCUUACCACGAGUUGAAAGACCUCCCGUCUUUGUUUCCUAACGGUAACGUUCUCGCUAGGAAUUUUUAGGUUCUCAGGAAGACGACCUACUUCGAUGAUCACGAAACCUACACCUCAGACUCGCUCAUCAAGUUCUUCGCAAUUUAGCCUAGUACCAUCCCUAUUGAUGUGAGUAACAACGAGUAGCCGACUCAUGUCAGUCUUUACGUCUAACGUAUCGUCACCAAGUAGUUCCUUUCCAUCGACUUGCUCCACAGGUACUACUGGACUAUUUCCUAGGACUACCUCGAAUGAGAGUAGAAUAAGCCGAUGUUGUUCGGGUAUGACUUCUUUGUGGACUCUACGGUAUACACCGUUCAAGUUCUAAGUUUUCAUGUUCAUAUAGAAACCUUGUUAGAUAGUCCCUAAGAGGGUCCUUAUCUUCUGUUGUGAGGUCAUUUAGGGAACCUGACAGAUCUAGCCUACUAAACAAGUCCGUACAACGAUCGUCUCUCCUUGUGGAUCUUUAACCACUAUCACUCCGAGGUUUCUUUCGUGGUUAACCUGCGGACAAAUUAGAAUCGUCCGGUCUUCGUGGUUAAGAGGACAAUCGAUAGUAUCGACGGUGAGACGUACCUGAAGAAAAGGGUAGUAAGUCAUAAUACUACAGACCACCAUAUUCUUGUAAGAUGAUAGGUCGUGUGGUUGAAGCUUUUCUAAGUUGUAAAACCCGUAACUACACGGAAGACUACCGUUAGUAAAGGGACCAAAGUUAGGUUAACCUUAAAAUGAAUAAACCUCAUCGGCCACCCUUUGAAUAUCUUGCACACGCACGAAACAGAAAGGUUUCGUAGUAAGUAGUUCUCCAACGAACCAAACUACUAGGAAGCUUAAGGUCACCGCGUGAACCACGUUCCAACAAAUAACUACGAAACUUGUAGGCUGCGGAACAUCCUCUAUUGAACCGGCAUGAUCACGUCACGUGUCAUUGUGAAUAAACACCGAAACCGUAUCGUAAACGAAGUCUGACCUUCGAAUGUGACUCAUAGUAUCCACAGUAAGGAAAAGACCCAAACGUCUUAAUAUAGGUUAACUCCAAAGACUUUCCCAAGCCACUUCUACGAUUCCACUACAUACUUCUACGUUCAGUUCAACACCGACUUCGUUAACCAUCAUAAGCUUGACAUCGUAGAAAACCACGUCUCUUCUCUCACUAAUGGGAUAUGUCGGUUUUUACGGUCCGAAGUUACUUUGUCCCUUAAUCUUCACCUUACCAGCCUCCACAACCAAAGUCAAAGAGUUUAAAUUACAACAUAGAGUGUAUACGAGAAACAAAGAUACAACCACGUGUCAAACAUGUACUGCCGUUUAGUUGGAAAGUUUUACAAAAGUCUCAAAUGAAACGGAACCAAAAGUGGCGAAAACCUUAAAGGGUUUGUUCACUGUACCGUAGUCUGAGUUGCUUUCCAGCUCUUAGACGCUGUAGGUAUGAUAGUAAGUAUCUGUCCUUCGGGUUUUAACUGAGUUGGUCACUACUUCCAUAUUUCGAUCUUUUUCAACUACCGUGGUAUCUCAAGUUGGUACAUUCCAAGUUCAUGGGUAGGGCUGGUCUACAGGUUUAUAAGUCGCUGAAGUGAAACGCAUAACGAAGGCCUUUCUGAUGACGUGAACAGCCUCUCUCACCUUCACCGUUCAGGUGUCAUUAACGAAACGACCUCGCUAAGAUACUAGGCCUGAGACCGUGUUAGAGUGAUCUGCCUUGUCUUGAAUCUUUCAAUUGUGACUCAACCAAUUCUCUGGUUUACCCUGAUCAUUCGGUUCUUGGUUAUGAGAAGUUACUGUGUUAAGCACGGUUGUAUCGUAUACCUUUCGCUCCUCUUCGUUGACUUCUUCUCUAUUAGUGGUACCGGUUCCGUCGGUUGCGAGUACUCAAGUAUAGCCCGAACGGUGUCCCUAUGUUGUGAUUGCAACCACUCUCUCCUUGUGUUGAUAGACCACCCGUUUUCGUUGCCCAUCGAUAACGGUCCCGCUAGAACUUCCUGGGGUCUUAUGAAGACGAGCUGCUUCGUUGUUCGCGGGACCUGCGACUUAGUCUCGUAUAACAAGUUCUAUGUGACCUGGUUCACUACCAGUCGUCCUGGUGGUAACAGCAUCGUGUGGCGGACAGCUGCUAGUUUCCUCGUCUAUACUAGCGUCAAUAGUUUCUACCAAGUCAACGGCUCUUCCCCUUCGUACUUAGAGAGUACCCGUAGUUCCCACCUCAGAUGCGUAGUGACCAGCUUGAUGUGAGCUUCCGCCGUAUUCCCCUACACGUCUAUAAAUAACAAGGAAAGAACAAAAGGCUUGAUACUCUACGUUUUACGUACACAGUCAAACAUAAUGUUAAGCACGUUACAUUUAACGUGUAUUUAAAGUUCCCGUAAGAGGAUUUAAGAUCAAAAUAAAAUCCGGAUACUGUAGUCUCCGCUCUAACGGGGUCGUACACAAAGCCUGAAAGUCAACAACACCCCAUGGUCUCUAGAUACGUAAUAUAUCAUGUUUUUUCUUUGUGUAAUAAGGUC